rnacentral:rRNA from 1 species
GAUGAGCGCUAGCGGCAGGCCUAAUACAUGCAAGUCGAACGGUGUCUUCGGACAUAGUGGCGCACGGGUGCGUAACACGUACGCAACCUACCUUACAUUGGGGGAUAGCCUUUCGAAAGGGAGAUUAAUACCGCAUAAGACAGUAGCUGGGCAUCCAGCAGCUGUUAAAGAUUUAUCGAUGUAAGCUGGGCAUGCGUCCAAUUAGCUAGUUGGUGAGGUAACGGCUCACCAAGGCAAUGAUUGGUAGGGGAACUGAGAGGUCAAUCCCCCACACUGGCACUGAGAUACGGGCCAGGCUCCUACGGGAGGCAGCAGUAGGGAAUAUUGGGCAAUGGACGCAAGUCUGACCCAGCCAUGCCGCGUGCAGGAUGAAGGCGUUAUGCGUUGUAAACUGCUUUUAUACAGGAAGAAACGACUCUUGCGAGAGGCAUUGACGGUACUGUAUGAAUAAGCCCCGGCUAACUUCGUGCCAGCCGCCGCGGUAAAAC